ACAAGACUGAGCCGGGAUGCCAGCCAGGACUUCUGCAGAACCCCGGUGAUGGGGUGCGGGCUUGUCACCUGCUGAGCCCUCCACCUCUCCAGUUCCUCACACGCCCCCUACAAAGCCCACAAACGGCCCUCUGCAGACAGGACAGCAGCACAGAGCCUGGGGGAACCCCACCCACGGAGGCAGCUGAUUUCGCACCCGAGACAGACAGCGAAGUGAAUGCAUAUUUCACACGAGUCAGAAAUGGAGUGGUCCUGGUGACCCCCCCAACUUUGCAGGUGACAGGGAAGGAAUUAUGCUGUCUCCUCCGCGUGCGCACCAGGAUCAGGAAGCUUCUGCUGCAGUGCUAAUGACACAGAGGCACAGCCACACGUCCCCGAGAUGUACGUAUGCCAUCGCCCCCCAUUUUACCUAUGGGAAACGGGCACAGAGAGGGAAAGCUGAGCCAGAAGGAGCUUCCUGGCGAGUACCCGUGUCUGGAAAGCUCGCCAAACAGAACCCAGCCCUCCGGAAGCCCGGUCAGUCGUGUUGCCGCCGCAUCCCAGGCAUGUAGG